UUAUCACGUUCCCACGAGUUAUUAUGUCGUGGCCACGACAAAACUAAGUAAACCGAACAAGUAACCUUAUGGGCACCGUAGCUAUGUUACUAUAUUGAUUGAUCAAUAAAAUAAAGGAUUAAGUGUAUUUGCGGUCAUUCCACAAAUUAAUUUAAAAUAUGCAGAUACAUGUGAUUUGUACAUUGCUGGAAAAUGAUGGGAUCAAUGAUCCACAAUGCCUCAAUAGUUGGCUUUAGUUUGAAACAAAUGACUAUUUCUUAUAACUUAGAGUGUCAACAUAACCUUGACAAAACAUCAUAAUUUCUGAGCAGGAACUUGUGCACUGUCGCUGGAGAAAUUAACUUCCCUUAUUUCCUGGAAUAAGUCACAUUUGGUGUAUGCUUGUUUAGUACAUUUCCUUUUGGCCCAAAAUGUGUAUAAAAAAAAAAAACAUAUGAAUUGAAAAUGUAUUGCAUGUUACAAUGCAUAACCAUCAUUGGGGUCAAAAUAAAUACAUUUAUGUUUAUGAAUCGGUUUAUUUAAUAAUUUGUUUUUAAUUAGUUUAUUGAUAAUUGAUAAUCAGCCAUAUAUUAUAUUAGAGAUGUUCGUGGAACAGAGGUUUAAAUAUUCUUUAUUCUGAGACAUGAGACAGGAAUUCCUCUUUUUGGAGUAAAGGUUUUUCCCAGUUCAGUUCCUCAUAGUGAUGACUAAACCUGACUGGACCGGUUUAAAGUUUUGUAAUUGGGACAUUUAUUGUACCCCGCAUAGUUUUGUGGUUAGAGGAUGAGUAAUUUGUCUACUUAAAUAAGAACCUGUAAGGGCUUCCAUUCCACUCGUUCUUUCAGUUUGAAGGAAACAGGAGCAACUCUAACAUUAGAUCCCGGAGGACAGAGAAGGGUUGACUGCAUCCAUGAUAAGAAGCAUGUUUCACAUCCAAGGACAACGAAGUUGGAAACUCCUGCUGUGUAUUUUGUCAUCAUUGAUCGUAGGCGUUGUGAUGGGGCAGCGCAGCGUCGGCAGCAAAAGUGAUUGUGCUAAAAAUGAAUACUGGAGCGACGGGCUCUGCUGUGACAAAUGUGCUCCAGGGUAUAAGUUGGUAAGAAAAUGCACUAGAGACUUGCCAUCUCAAUGUCAGAAAUGUGAGAACGGGACAUUCCUAGACAAAAUGAAUUAUUUCCCAAACUGCUUCAGAUGCGAGAAAUGCACCAAGCCAUAUGCGGUGGUGAUUUCACCAUGUACACCCCAAAAUAACACCGUGUGUGGAUGUCAGUCCGGAUACUUCAAAAAGUCCUUUGAUAGCAUUACAUGGGAAUGUAAAAAAGAAAGGAAAAAAUGGCAUGGCAGGAACCAUUAUUGUGUUCUCUCAAAAAUUGAUGGGAUAUUAGCUUGAAGUAUGACUCAAGAACACAGCUCUACAUCCAGAAGAGGCAUCAUGCCCUUUCAUGCCCAUUCAUGCCCAUUCAGAUUUUAAAGCCAAGUGGAUUUUGAAUGCAGCUUCCAAAAGCAAAAAUAAGCGAUUUAUAUUUUCUGCUGUGUGAGAAUGUUCAGCGAGUCAUAUCAUUAGCUGCUAAAUUCAGAUCUGCAUUCGCUGGCUGGCGCGCUUUUACAGGACUGCACAUAAUUAUCACCAAUCACACAAGAUUCUGUUGAGCUUGUUAAAGCAUUAGCCAAUCAAAGGUGUUCCGAUGAGUCACCUGAAUACCUCUUUCUGGCAAAUUCUCUCGUCAGAAACAACAAAGAGCAGAUGUGUGUGCGAAUCUUUAAAUAAGAUAUUAAUUUCACAGUAUUAACAGUUUCAAUGAUUUUAAUGGGAGUUUUUGAGAUUGAUUUAACUCUAGACUGUCAGUGAAAAUGUUCUUUGCUCUCUUUCUUUACAAUGAAAUAUUAAUAGCCUAACUUACAACGUUUUUAUUAUAAAGGCAGUCAUAUUAAAAUAUAUUAUGGCAUGACACCCAUAUCUUUUACUUAAGUAAACAGACAGGUUUUUAUACUUAUUUAAUAUAUUACAUUAUUAGGCUACUUUGACACUCGCAUAUUAUCAAAUAAAUAAUCAAUGAAGGUGAGAAUCGAGAUAUUUCAUGGUAUAGUUAAUAUGUCUGGGAAUGUUACUAAUAAAAAUUACAAAUAUAAAUAAUGCUUAAUAAUAAUUUGCCAAUAUGCUGUUGUGGCCACUGUGUGUCACAUGACGACCCCCCCCCCCAACCCACUCAUGCCCUCUCAAAAAUAAUGAGUGCAUGACCCCUCUGACCUCCAGCAUGAACAAAUACCUCUGACAAUAAAUGAGAUUCUUGUGGGAAAGACUGAGUUGGGUGAAAGCCUACUGUAUACAAUCUAUACCAUGUUCCUCUUGACUGGUAGUUCAUGAUUUUAUUAUUAAGUAAAAGGCCUUUUAGUAUAAUUAUUUAAAAAAAUCCACCUUCAGGUCAUGGAACAUAACUUUUAUAAGGUUAGUAAAAAUAUUUCAAGACAAGCAUUUACUGGACUGAAAAAAAAACUAAAUUUUUGGGUUCAUCUAAUUAUUCAUAUGAAUGUAAUGGAAGGUUCUUAUACAUUAUAAGAUGACUAUUAGUUUUUUUCACUCUGUAAUCACGCACUUUACAGUAUUUAAGUGGUGUACUUUUAAAGGUAUCAAACAAAAGACUUGAACAUUUCUUUGUACUGUACAUAUCUCAAUCAUUGUAUUGCAUUAUAUUUUUUUAAAUAAAAAAUGACAACUGA